rnacentral:rRNA from 1 species
UAUUAUAUUAUUGAUUAUAAUUUAGACUUGAGUAGUAUUAGUUAUGUUCUUGAAACUUAAAGAAUUUGGCGGUGUUUUAGUCCUUUUAGAGGAAUCUGUAUUGUAAUUGAUAGUACACGAUUUGUUUUACCUUUUUUAUUUUAAUUUAUAUACCGUUGUCAUAAGAUUAUUUCAUAGGAGAAUUAUAAAAUUUCUGGAUUUAGGAUUUUAAAGUAUGUCAAAUCAAGGUGUAGUUUAUGGAGAGGAUUUUAUGGGUUACAAUAAUAUUAAUUAUAUGGAUAGGCUAUUUAGUGAGUUAUUGAAGGUGGAUUUAAUUGUAAAUUUAUUUUGAUUAUUAAGUUGAUUGGGGCUCUAGAAUGUGUACAUAUCGCCCGUCGCUCUCGUUUUAAUAUGAG